UACGAAGGGGGCUAGCGUUGCUCGGAAUUACUGGGCGUAAAGGGCGCGUAGGCGGCCCUGCAAGUCAGGCGUGAAAUUCCCGGGCUCAACCUGGGGCUGCGCUUGAGACUGUGGGGCUAGAGGCCGAGAGAGGGUGGUGGAAUUCCCAGUGUAGAGGUGAAAUUCGUAGAUAUUGGGAAGAACACCGGUGGCGAAGGCGGCUCUCUGGACCGAGACUGACGCUGAGGCGCGAAAGCGUGGGGAGCAACA
rnacentral:rRNA from 1 species